rnacentral:rRNA from 1 species
CCUACGGGAGGCAGCAGUGGGGAAUAUUGCACAAUGGGGGAAACCCUGAUGCAGCGACGCCGCGUGAGUGAAGCAGUAUUUCGGUAUGUAAAGCUCUGUCAGCAGGGAAGAAAAUGACGGUACCUGACCAAGAAGCCCCGGCUAACUACGUGCAAGCAGCCGCGGUAAUACGUAGGGGGCAAGCGUUAUCCGGAUUUACUGGGUGUAAUGGGAGCGUAGACGGCAGGGCAAGUCUGGAGUGAAAGGCGGGGGCUCAACCCCCGGACUGCUCUGGAAACUGCCAGGCUGGAGUGCAGGAGAGGUAAGUGGAAUGCCUAGUGUAGCGGUGAAAUGCGUAGAUAUGAGGAGGAACACCAGUGGCGAAGGCGGCUUACUGGACUGUAACUGACGUUGAGGCUCGAAAGCGUGGGGAGCAAACAGGAUUAGAUACCCUGGUAGUC